rnacentral:rRNA from 1 species
GCUAACGGUGUUGCAGGAGACGGGGUAAGACCGUGGGGGAAAGGCUUAAUCGGGUGUACUGGGCGUGAAGCGCGCUUGUGUUGCUAAUUAAUGUGAAUGUGAAAUCCCCGAGCUUAACUUGGGAAUGUCAUUCGAUACUGGUUAGGUGGAGUAUGGGAGAGGAUGGUAGAAUUCCAGGUGGAGCGGUGAAAUGCGUAGAGAGCUGGAGGAAUACCGAUAGCGAAUGCAGCCAUCUGGCCUAAUACUGACACUGAGGUGCGAAAGCAUGGGGAGCAAACAGGAUUAGAUACCCGUGUAGUC